GACGAACGCUGGCGGCGUGCUUAACACAUGCAAGUCGAACGGUGAACUCCGCUUGCGGGGGGAUCAGUGGCGAACGGGUGAGUAACACGUGGGCAACCUGCCCUCAGCUCUGGGAUAACUCCAAGAAAUUGGGGCUAAUACCGGAUAUGACCGCUGACCGCAUGGUCUGGUGGUGGAAAGAUUUAUCGGCUGGGGAUGGGCCCGCGGCCUAUCAGCUUGUUGGUGGGGUAGUGGCCUACCAAGGCGACGACGGGUAGCCGGCCUGAGAGGGUGACCGGCCACACUGGGACUGAGACACGGCCCAGACUCCUACGGGAGGCAGCAGUGGGGAAUAUUGGGCAAUGGGCGAAAGCCUGACGCAGCGACGCCGCGUGGGGGAUGACGGCCUUCGGGUUGUAAACCUCUUUCAGCAGGGACGAAGCGAAAGUGACGGUACCUGCAGAAGAAGCACCGGCCAACUACGUG
rnacentral:rRNA from 1 species